GCUCACGGCAGAUGAGGAACCCGAGACUCCGAACAGCUGAAGUACCACCACCUGCCUGCGUUGGACGAGGCAGGAGUGGAGGCCAGGCCGGUCUGCCCGGGAGCAGAGUCCUGUCAGUGUGCCGCUCCUCUGCCCCAGAAGACUGACAUCCAGCGGACACUCCCCUGGGGCCAGCUGGCCUGGAAAGGGGACUGGGUCUUCCUGUCCGCUGCUGGAUCUACAGAACAGUGUGUGGCACUCAGCUGCUACGGAAUGAAUGCUGCAGAACAGGGCCUGGCGCCCAGCAGGUGCCGGAUAAAUGCAUGUGGAGUGAGUGAUCCGCCCGUCACUGCCCUCAGAGCUCCUGCUGCCUGGGCCACACUGGAGAGUAGAGCGGAAGGAAACACGUUCUUCCCACAGAGCCACUUCCAGCAGCCUCUGCGGUCCCAGCCUCAGGUUGGCCAAGACCUCAUUAGUGGUAAGAACCUGGGAGAGGCAGAAUCUACCCUGGCCAGAGCUUUGGGCUGGCAGCAGGAUGGCAGCGAGGCAGGGAGGCAUGAGAGGAACAGAUUCUGGGGGGGAAAUGGUGAAGGACACACAGCACGGCCUAGACGUGAGAGUCACACUCAUCCCGGUUCACAUCCAGCCUUUCCUGCUGACUGGAUUUGGAAAUGCAGCCUGGUCCCUCUGUGUCUUCACUUCAGCCCUCUGAGAAUGGAGUUGCCGGCAAAGGCAGCCUCACAGGGGUUAAGUACUUGAAGUGCUGGGCACGGAAGAAGCAGUGCCCACCUCAAGAAUAAGGUUGGGGUGACCGGACUUGCCCAUUUAGAUCUGGGACACAUUGCUGCACCUCUCUGAGCCGCUGCCUCCUCGUCUUCAUCUUGGGUUUCAUGAAACCCACCUCUGAGGAUGCCGAGGCGGGGGCAGCAGUACAGCGUCAUCUUGCCCUGAGCGCUUCAAUAAUAGUAAGCGACAGUAAAAAUAGCAGCGCGCACCUCUCCGGCACUUACCGCGUACUGGCGGCUGUUGGGAUCGCUGCAGAUGUGUGAGCUCAUUUAACCCCAGCUCUGCAGAAGAGGCAGCCAAGGCACCCAGAGGUGGGUGUGCCCUCGAGGUGGCCCUUUGGGAGUGUGUCGAAAGAGUGACUCCUAGGUCUGGGCCUGCAGCUCCACAUUUCUCACACCUCCCUGCGGGUGCUGGUGGUUCGGGGACCACAAUGAACAGUGAGGGGCUGUCACCUGCUGAAGGCCACAAAAGCAGCGGGCAUCGCACCUGCACCUAAGCCAUCUAGAUCAGCUGCAGGAUCGUGGGCUUAACCAUGACCGAGACCUGCCCCAGCCCCAGCCCCAGCUUAGUCUCCCCGACAAAGAGGCAGGAAGUACGAUUCCCCUCCCCCAACCCCGUUUCCUCUCUCUGGGCCCCUGCCACCUCUCUCCACAGUGACAUGCGGCCCCAUGUCCCUGGGGUCCUCCCAGUAGAUGGGCCGGAGGGUCUUGGGUGUUGGUUAGCCUGCAAGAUAAUUGAGGGCAAGGGUGAGCUUACCUGGCUCCCUGGGAGCCUGCCGUGUGCCAGCCUGGCCCAUGUCCACUUUCCUCGGGUGCUGGAGGUGCUGGGACAAGACAGGGCCUUGCUGGGGCUGGGGAUGGACAGGCUUCUGCCCAGCUCAGGGGAAAUGGCCUGCAGCUGGGCCUCCUUGCCUAGCCCAAGGCCACCAGGUUGGGCAGGUGUCUUUGCCCAGGGCACCCCCGUGGAGUCUCAGGCCUGCAAACAAAAUGAAAACUGCUUGUCCACAGGGAAAUCUCCUGAAAGAUGGAGGAGACCUCCUGGUUAAUUCUGCAGGGGAAGGCUAGGGGGACACAGAGAGGGUGUCUCCUAGCUCUGGGAUGCACAGCAAUUUUCUUUCACAGAGAAAAAGUCUUGCUUACUGCUGAUCUGAUUUUAACAGCUCACCAGGGCUGGCUCAGCACCCACCUAACUAGGAAAGGAGACAAAACUCAGGCCAGAAGAUUGGACAGUCAACACUUAGAAGCUCGGAGGAGCUGCUUUCUGCUUUUCUGCUUUUAUGUUUGAAUUCCUGGGGGCAGGAUGCUGGGGAAAGACCCAGAGCCUGGGCCAUGCUGGGCAAGCACUCUACCACUGAACUACUUCGCUUUUGAAUGUGGGGACAGUGUCUCACCACGGUGUAUUCUCUCCUCUGGCCUUUGCCCGAUGUUCCUUAUUAACAUUUCUUUCUUUGUUGCUUCAUUUUUGAGGUGUCAAGGCAAAAGCUAGGACCCCGACAGCGCUAACACCCAAACCGGAGGGUCCCUGUCACCUUAAAUGCCAUCUUUGUCCCUCUCUGCUUUGCUUUUUUUGCGGUUUUAUUAUACCCAUUUCCUUAAAAAAGGACAUUUUAAGUUUUAGUUUGUUCCUAGCAAGCUUAUUGAAAGGACGUAUGUGAGGCAGGUGUAGUGGCACAGCCUGCACUCCCAGCGCUCAGGAGCCUGAGGCAGAAGGUGUAGAGUUCAAGACCAGCCUGAGCUCCAUAACAAAACCCUGUGUCCAAAUAAAAGACUGUAUUAGUUUUCCAGGACUGAUGUAACAAAUUACCACAAACUCCACGUUCUAAAACAGCAGAAAUUUAUUCUCUCUCAGCUCUGCCGGCCGGAAGUCUGAAGUCAAGGUGGCAGCAAGGCCAUAUUUCCUCUGAAGGCCGUAGGGAGGGUCCAGCCCAUGUCCCUCUCCCAUCUUCUGGGGACUGCAGCAAUCCUUGGCCUUGGCUUUCCUUGGCCUGUAGCUGCGUCACUGCAGCCUCUGCUGCCAUCUUCAUGCACACGCUCCUUGGUGGCUACGUCCCCUCCCCUGUUCUUAGGAGAGCAGGGAGUGGGGCGUGGCAGUGCACACCUGUAAUCCCAGUACCCUGGGAGGCUGAGGCAGGAGGGUGACAAGUUUGA